AUUGAACGCUGGCGGCAGGCUUAACACAUGCAAGUCGAGCGGGGUGAUGGUGCUUGCACUAUCACUUAGCGGCGGACGGGUGGGUAAUGCUUAGGAAUCUGCCUAUUAGUGGGGGACAACAUCUCGAAAGGGAUGCUAAUACCGCAUACGUCCUACGGGAGAAAGCAGGGGAUCUUUAUGACCUUGCGCUAAUAGAUGAGCCUAAGUCGGAUUAGCUAGUUGGUGGGGUAAAGGCCUACCAAGGCGACGAUCUGUAGCGGGUCUGAGAGGAUGAUCCGCCACACUGGGACUGAGACACGGCCCAGACUCCUACGGGAGGCAGCAGUGGGGAAUAUUGGACAAUGGGGGAACCCUGAUCCAGCCAUGCCGCGUGUGUGAAGAAGGCCUUAUGGUUGUAAAGCACUUUAAGCGAGGAGGAGGCUCUUUUGGUUAAUACCCAGAAUGAGUGGACGUUACUCGCAGAAUAAGCACCGGCUAACUCUGUGCCAGCAGCCGCCGUAA
rnacentral:rRNA from 1 species